rnacentral:rRNA from 1 species
UACGGAGGGGGCUAGCGUUGUUCGGAAUUACUGGGCGUAAAGGGCGCGUAGGCGGCACGGCAAGUCAGGAGUGAAAGCCCUGGGCUCAACCCGGGAACUGCUUUUGAAACUGCCGAGCUAGAGUGCGGAAGGGGCAACUGGAAUUCCCAGUGUAGCGGUGAAAUGCGUAGAUAUUGGGAAGAACACCUGAGGCGAAGGCGGGUUGCUGGGCCGACACUGACGCUGAUGCGCGAAAGCCAGGGGAGCGAACGGG